rnacentral:rRNA from 1 species
UACGUAGGGCGCAAGCGUUUAUCCGGAAUUAUUGGGCGUAAAGAGCUCGUAGGCGGUUUGUCGCGUCUGCCGUGAAAGUCCGGGGCUCAACUCCGGAUCUGCGGUGGGUACGGGCAGACUAGAGUGAUGUAGGGGAGACUGGAAUUCCUGGUGUAGCGGUGAAAUGCGCAGAUAUCAGGAGGAACACCGAUGGCGAAGGCAGCCUCUGGGCCGAACACUGACGCUCAUGCACGAAAGCGUGGGGAGCAAACAGG